AUUGAACGCUGGCGGCAUGCCUAACACAUGCAAGUCGAACGCGAAAGCACCUUCGGGUGUUAGUAGAGUGGCGGACGGGUGAGUAAUGCUUGGGAAUCUGCCUAGUAGUGGGGGAUAACUCGAGGAAACUCGAGCUAAUACCGCAUACGCCCUACGGGGGAAAGAUUUAUCGCUAUUAGAUGAGCCCAAGUCAGAUUAGCUAGUUGGUAGGGUAAUGGCCUACCAAGGCGACGAUCUGUAGCUGGUCUGAGAGGACGAACAGCCACACUGGGACUGAGACACGGCCCAG
rnacentral:rRNA from 1 species